rnacentral:rRNA from 1 species
GCGGGAAUUCGAUUUUCCGGUUGAUCCUGCCGGAGGUCACUGCUAUCAGUAUUCGACUAAGCCAUGCGAGUCAAAUGUUUUUCGUAAACAUGGCGUACUGCUCAGUAACACGUGGAUAAUCUGCCCUAAGGUUAGGUAUAACUCCGGGAAACUGGUGAUAAUCCCUAAUAUGUCAUAGAUACUGGAAUGUUCUGUGAUUCAAAGCUCCGGCGCCUUAGGAUGAAUCUGCGGUCUAUCAGGUAGUAGUGGGUGUAACGUACCUACUAGCCGACGACGGAUACGGGUUGUGAGAGCAAGAGCCCGGAGAUGGAUUCUGAGACAUGAAUGCAGGCCGUACNGGGGCGCAGCAGGCACGAAAUCUUUACAAUCCAGGGAAACCGCGAUAAAGGGGAUACAUCGAGUGCCAGCAUAUUAUGUUGGCUGUCCACCAUGUAUAAACAGCAAGGUGUUAGCAAGGGCCGGGCAAGACCGGUGCCAGCCGCCGGCGGUAACACCGGCGGCCCGAGUGGUGGCCACUAUUAUUGGGUCUAAAGGGUCCGUAGCCGGUAUGAUCAGUCUUCCGGGAAAUCUGACAGCUCAACUGUUAGGCUUCUGGGGGAUACUGUCAGACUUGGGACCGGGAGAGGUAAGAGUACUACAGGGUAGGAGUGAAUC